CACAAGCGGUGGAGUAUGUUGUUUAAUUCGAAGAUACACGAAGAACCUUACCAGGUCUUGACAUACCAUUGACAGGUGUAGAGAUACACUCUCCUUCGGGCAAUGGAUACAGGUGGUGCAUGGUUGUCGUCAGCUCGUGCCGUGAGGUGUUGGGUUAAGUCCCGCAACGAGCGCAACCCUCAUUGUUAGUUACUACCAUUCAGUUGAGGACUCUAAUGAGACUGCCAACGACAAGUUGGAGGAAGGUGGGGAUGACGUCAAAUCAUCAUGCCCUUUAUGACCUGGGCUACAAACGUACUACAAUGGCCAAUACAAAGAGAUGCGAAGCGGUGACGUGAAGCGAACCUCAGAAAGUUGGUCUCAGUUCAGAUUGAAGUCUGCAACUCGACUUCAUGAAGGCGGAAUCGCUAGUAAUCGCGGGUCAGCAGACCGCGGUGAAUACGUUCCCGGGUUUU
rnacentral:rRNA from 1 species